rnacentral:rRNA from 1 species
GACGAACGCUGGCGGCGUGCCUAAUACAUGCAAGUUGAGCGCUGAAGGUUGGUACUUGUACCAACUGGAUGAGCAGCGAACGGGUGAGUAACGCGUGGGGAAUCUGCCUUUGAGCGGGGGACAACAUUUGGAAACGAAUGCUAAUACCGCAUAAAAACUUUAAACACAAGUUUUAAGUUUGAAAGAUGCAAUUGCAUCACUCAAAGAUGAUCCCGCGUUGUAUUAGCUAGUUGGUGAGGUAAAGGCUCACCAAGGCGAUGAUACAUAGCCGACCUGAGAGGGUGAUCGGCCACAUUGGGACUGAGACACGGCCCAAACUCCUACGGGAGGCAGCAGUAGGGAAUCUUCGGCAAGGGACGAAAGUCUGACCGAGCAACGCCGCAUGAGUGAAGAAGGUUUUCGGAUCGUAAAACUCUGUUGGUAGAGAAGAACGUUGGUGAGAGUGGAAAGCUCAUCAAGUGACGGUAACUACCCAGAAAGGGACGGCUAACUACGUG